ACACAUGCAAGUCGAGCGGAAAGGCCCUUUCGGGGGUACUCGAGCGGCGAACGGGUGAGUAACACGUGAGUAAUCUGCCCUGCGCUCUGGGAUAGCCACCGGAAACGGUGAUUAAUACCGGAUAGGACCACUUCACGCAUGUGAUGGUGGUGGAAAGUUUUUUCGGCGCAGGAUGUGCUCGCGGCCUAUCAGCUUGUUGGUGAGGUAACGGCUCACCAAGGCUUUGACGGGUAACCGGCCUGAGAGGGUGACCGGUCACACUGGGACUGAGACACGGCCCAGACUCCUACGGGAGGCAGCAGUGGGGAAUAUUGGACAAUGGGCGGAAGCCUGAUCCAGCAACGCCGCGUGAGGGAUGACGGCCUUCGGGUUGUAAACCUCUUUCAGUACCGACGAAGCGAAAGUGACGGUAGGUACAGAAGAAGGACCGGCCAACUACGUGCCAGCAG
rnacentral:rRNA from 1 species